rnacentral:lncRNA from 1 species
CCCCUGCGAAAUAAAAUAAUAAGCAUUCUGAACUUGUACAAUAUUGAAGCAUGCAAGAAAGCUAGCACUGGAGUUUUCUGCAAACGGGUAGGACAAUCUUUAAGCAGGGACAGGACAAUCUUUUGGUAUUCAAGGCAUGAGUGUCAAAGACUGUAACCUGCCAACAAGCUGUAUAGGUUGAAUGUGAUGCUUUCCCAAGAUACC